GAGGGUAUGGCUCAAGUGGUAGAGCACAUGCUUAGCAUACACAAGGUGCUGGGUUCAAUCCCCAGUGCCUCCA
rnacentral:tRNA from 1 species